rnacentral:rRNA from 1 species
UACGUAGGGUGCGAGCGUUAAUCGGAAUUACUGGGCGUAAAGCGUGCGCAGGCGGUUCUAUAAGACAGAUGUGAAAUCCCCGGGCUCAACCUGGGAACUGCAUUUGUGACUGCAUAGCUAGAGUGUGGUAGAGGGAGAUGGAAUUCCGCAUGUAGCAGUGAAAUGCGUAGAUAUGCGGAGGAACACCAAUGGCGAAGGCAAUCUCCUGGACCUGCACUGACGCUCAUGCACGAAAGCGUGGGGAGCAAACAGG